AGAGAGAGAGAGAGAGAGAGAGAGAGAGAGAGAGAGAGAGGGGUCCCGAGGUCUUCUUCCUCGGCAGAGCCGUUAUAGACGAACGCCAGACGGAGAAGAGUCGAUGCGGAGAACGAAGGAAAGAUCGACCUCCCGCGGAGCACCAGAUCGCGGUGUCGUCUCCACGGGGGGUGUCCACGUGCCUCCCCCCUUCAAACCGGAUAGCGUUCGAGAUAACUUGACCCGGACCUCCACGCGACGUCAGCAGGAGCGACACGUACCCCCUUCCGGUGGGCACCCGCCGGGUCCCCAACGGUCGUGACGAGUGCAGCCGAUCAGACGUCAU
rnacentral:lncRNA from 1 species